UGGGAACAGGAUCUCAGUCUUCACCUGGACGAAGGAGUCGCGGCCCACGGUCGCUGUGUGCUCGUACUGCGUCCUCACCUGGUUGCGCAGUUGAAGGCCACGGGGAACAGCUUGGGGGCUGAAACGAUGAAACUCCGUUGGGAAGCUGGACCAGGGAGGACUUGGAUAUACAAAGUCACAGCCAAGGGCAUGAGCUGGACAACAGUCAGACCCAGGCUUUCCCGGGGUUGCUCUGGAAUCCUCUCGGGUGCAAGCAUGUGCGUUAGACCUCACGUCCCGCCUGAAUCGCUGAUGCUCCCUGGGAUGGCAAAAAACUGUGGAGUCAAGAUGAAUCUGGUCGAGGCCACACAGCAACACUCGCUCCCCCUGGAUUUGGUGGCCUCUGAUGCUGCUGUGACGAGAGCCCCCUCUCCCCCAUCCCCG